CUUUAGCAAUCGGAAGUUCCGAUACGGUAUCGUAUCUCUAGCCACGUCGAAAUAACUAUGGAUCUCGGCUACCCAUCACUUCAUCCAACACAUGAGGGAGGUGUUCAGAUCCACCAUGACAAGUCUAAUUACGGUGUACCUGAUCUGCUGACAUAUGGCCUGGCUCCUGUAUAUAUCA